GAUUAAAUAAAUUUAAUUAAAUAUAUUAUUUUUAUGAAUAUUAAUUAGAUAGAGAAGGCUUAAUUUCUUCUUUUUUUGAGAAAAUUAAAGGUAGCUACCCGUUUCGUUUAUUAUUUUUAGAAAUAAAUUUAGUUGAAAAUAUGAAUCAAUUAAAAUUCGAACUUGAGAUCUCGAAUAACAACUACCAAAUUCUUUGCUUAGAAACAGUUGGUGAAAAGACUUAAUUAAUUUCUUACAUUCAAAAUAUAUACAUAUAGCAUUUG
rnacentral:lncRNA from 1 species